UGCGGUGUGGGAUGGGCCCGCGGCCUAUCAGCUUGUUGGUGGGGUGAUGGCCUACCAAGGCGACGACGGGUAGCCGGCCUGAGAGGGUGUCCGGCCACACUGGGACUGAGAUACGGCCCAGACUCCUACGGGAGGCAGCAGUGGGGAAUAUUGCACAAUGGGCGCAAGCCUGAUGCAGCGACGCCGCGUGAGGGAUGACGGCCUUCGGGUUGUAAACCUCUUUCACCAGGGACGAAGCGCAAGUGACGGUACCUGGAGAAGAAGCACCGGCCAACUACGUGCCAGCAGCCGCGGUAAUACGUAGGGUGCGAGCGUUGUCCGGAAUUACUGGGCGUAAAGAGCUCGUAGGUGGUUUGUCGCGUUGUUCGUGAAAACUCACAGCUCAACUGUGGGCGUGCGGGCGAUACGGGCAGACUGGAGUACUGCAGGGGAGACUGGAAUUCCUGGUGUAGCGGUGGAAUGCGCAGAUAUCAGGAGGAACACCGGUGGCGAAGGCGGGUCUCUGGGCAGUAACUGACGCUGAGGAGCGAAAGCGUGGGGAGCGAACAGGAUUAGAUACCCUGGUAGUCCACGCCGUAAACGGUGGGUACUAGGUGUGGGUUUCCUUCCUUGGGAUCCGUGCCGUAGCUAACGCAUUAAGUACCCCGCCUGGGGAGUACGGCCGCAAGGCUAAAACUCAAAGAAAUUGACGGGGGCCCGCACAAGCG
rnacentral:rRNA from 1 species